AAUUACAGUCGAUAAUCUUUCGAAAGCAGAAAAACUCAGGUUAGCAUCAAAUAGAAAGUUAGCGCAAUUUCUGGUAUUUGUGUGUCAAACAAAGAAUACGCGAGUUAUUUGAGAUAUGAUUGAAAUUUGCAAAGAAAGUAAAAAUCAAACUAGUUUCAUUCUAAGUUAUUGUAUAUAAUUUUAAAAUUUUGGAAUAGAAGUGA